rnacentral:rRNA from 1 species
UAGGGAAUUUUCGUCAAUGGGCGCAAGCCUGAACGAGCGAUGCCGCGUGAGUGAAGAAGGCCUCGGUCGUAAAGCUCUGUUGCGGGGGAAAAAAGGACAGCAUCAGGAAAUGGGUGCUGACUGAUGGUGCCCCGCCAGAAAGUCACGGCUAACUACGUGCC